rnacentral:rRNA from 1 species
CGACCGGCGCACGGGUGAGUAACGCGUAUCCAACCUGCCCACCACUUGGGGAGUAACCUUGCGAAAGUAAGACUAAUACCCAAUGAUAUCUCUAGAAGACAUCUGAAAGAGAUUAAAGAUUUAUCGGUGAUGGAUGGGGAUGCGUCUGAUUAGCUUGUUGGCGGGGUAACGGCCCACCAAGGCAACGAUCAGUAGGGGUUCUGAGAGGAAGGUCCCCCACAUUGGAACUGAGGCACGGUCCAA